AGAGUUUGAUCCUGGCUCAGGACGAACGCUGGCGGCGUGGAUUAGGCAUGCAAGUCGAACGCGAACGAAAGUCUUCGGAUUUUCAAGUAGAGUGGCGAACGGGUGAGUAACGCGUAGAUAAUCUAUCCAUAAGUGGGGGAUAGCCUCGGGAAACCGAGAUUAAUACCGCAUGUGUUCCUUAAUAUUAAUUAUUUUGGAAUAAAGGUGGCCUCUGUUAACAAGCUAUUGCUUAUGGGUGAGUCUGCGUCCUAUUAGUUAGUUGGUUGGGUAAUGGCUGACCAAGGCGAUGAUAGGUAGGCGGCCUUAACGGGUGGUCGCCCACACUGGGAUUGAGAUACGGCCCAGACUCCUACGGGAGGCAGCAGUCGAGAAUAGUCUACAAUGGACGAAAGUCUGAUAGUGCGACGCCGCGUGGAUGAAGAAGCAUUUCGGUGUGUAAAGUCCUUUUCUUUGUGAGCAAUGCUCUUAAUAUUAACAGUAUUAGGAGAGAGAUAUUAGCAGAGGAAUAAGCUCCGGCUAACUCCGUGCCAGCAGCCGCGGUAAUACGGGGGGAGCGAGCGUUGUCCGGAAUUACUAGGCGUAAAGGGUAAGUAGGCGGAAAAGUAAGUCAGAUGUAAAAUACACCGGCUCAACCGGUGGGCUGCAUUUGAUACUGCAUUUCUAGAGUAAGGUAGAGGGAGACGGAAUUCCUGGUGUAGCGGUGGAAUGCGCAGAUAUCAGGAAGAACACCGAUGGCGAAGGCAGUCUUCUGGGCCAUUACUGACGCUCAAUUACGAAGGUGUGGGUAUCGAACAGGAUUAGAUACCCUGGUAGUCCACACAGUAAACGAUAUACACUAGAUGUUGGUUUGGGCAAAGUCCGAGUCAGUGUCGCAGCUAACGCGUUAAGUGUAUCGCCUGGGGAGUACGAUCGCAAGGUUUAAACUCAAAGGAAUUGACGGGGGCCCGCACAAGCGGUGGAGCAUGUGGUUUAAUUCGAUGAUACGCGAGGAACCUUACCCGGGCUUAAAUGUAGGUUGCAUAGAGUGGAAACACUUUUUUCCUUCGGGACUACUUACAAGGUGCUGCAUGGUUGUCGUCAGCUCGUGCCGUGAGGUGUCGGGUUAAGUCCCAUAACGAGCGCAACCCCUAUUCUUAGUUGCCAUCAGGUAAUGCUGGGGACUCUAAGAAAACUGCCUACGCAAGUAGUGAGGAAGGUGGGGAUGACGUCAAAUCAGCACGGCCCUUAUGUCCAGGGCUACACACGUGUUACAAUGGCCGGUACAAAGGGCAGCUACCCCGCGAGGGGAUGCGAAUCUCAAAAACCGGUCACAGUUCGGAUCGGAGUCUGCAACCCGACUCCGUGAAGCUGGAAUCGCUAGUAAUCGCGCAUCAGCCAUGGCGCGGUGAAUACGUUCCCGGGCCUUGUACACACCGCCCGUCAAGCCAUGGAAGCUGGGGGUACCUGAAGUCGGUAACCGUUAAGGAUCCGCCUAGGGUAAAACCAGUAACUGGGGCUAAGUCGUAACAAGGUAGCCGUACCGGAAGGUGCGGCUG
rnacentral:rRNA from 1 species